rnacentral:misc_RNA from 1 species
GAUGAAGAACUUAGCGAAAUGCGAUAAGUAAUGUGAAUUGCAGAAUUCAGUGAAUCAUCGAAUCUUUGAACGCACAUUGCGCCCCCUGGUAUUCCGGGGGGCAUGCCUGUCCGAGCGUCAUUACAACCCUCAAGCUCAGCUUGGUGCUGGGCCCCGCCGCCCCGGCGGGCCCUAAAGUCAGUGGCGGUGCCGUCCGGCUCCGAGCGUAGUAAUUCUUCUCGCUCUGGAGGUCCGGUCGUGUGCUCGCCAGCAACCCCCAAUUUUUUUCAGGUUGACCUCGGAUCAGGUAGGGAUACCCGCUGAACUUAAGCAUAUCAAUAAGCGGAGGAA